AGGCAGGGCUAGUGACUGGGGUGAAGUCGUAACAAGGUAGCCGUACCGGAAGGUGUGGCUGGAUCACCUCCUUAAAGGGAGACCUAAUUCAGGUAGGAGACGAAGAAAAAGUAGUCGCUACCAAGAAUCAAUCCCAAAAGGUCGGAGCGAGGCAAGAUUGGCUUUCAAACUAGGUUCUGGGUUCACACAAGACCUGAAUCAGGAACAAGGGCUAUUAGCUCAGGUGGUUAGAGCGCACCCCUGAUAAGGGUGAGGUCCCUGGUUCGAGUCCAGGAUGGCCCACCUGCACAGGUGGAAAAAAGAAAAGAAGCGAGGAAUCAGCACCUUAUCUUACUUGUAUAGUAAGAGAGAAUGCUGGCUCUGAGUUCAGAGUCCAGAGGAACCUUGAAAACUGCAUAGAG
rnacentral:sRNA from 1 species